GCCUGGGUGGCUCAGUCGGUUGAGCGUCCGACUUUGGCUCAGGUCAUGAUCUCACAGUUCGUGGGUUCGAGCCCCGCAUCAGGCU
rnacentral:tRNA from 1 species